rnacentral:rRNA from 1 species
GACGAACGCUGGCGGCGUGCCUAAUACAUGCAAGUUGAGCGAUGAAGAUUGGUGCUUGCACCAAUUUGAAGAGCAGCGAACGGGUGAGUAACGCGUGGGGAAUCUGCCUUUGAGCGGGGGACAACAUUUGGAAACGAAUGCUAAUACCGCAUAACAACUUUAAACAUAAGUUUUAAGUUUGAAAGAUGCAAUUGCAUCACUCAAAGAUGAUCCCGCGUUGUAUUAGCUAGUUGGUGAGGUAAAGGCUCACCAAGGCGAUGAUACAUAGCCGACCUGAGAGGGUGAUCGGCCACAUUGGGACUGAGACCCCGCCCAAACUCCUACGGGAGGCAGCAGUAGGGAAUCUUCGGCAAUUGACGGAAGUCUGACCCAGCAACGCCGCGUGAGUGAAGAAGGUUUUCCGGUCGUAAAACUCUGUUUGUAGGGAAGAACGUUUGUGGGAGUGGAAAGCUCCUCCAGUGACGGUAACUACCCAGAAAGGGGCGGCUAACUUCGU